GACGAACGCUGGCGGCGUGCUUAACACAUGCAAGUCGAGCGGUAAGGCCCUUUCGGGGGUACACGAGCGGCGAACGGGUGAGUAACACGUGGGUGACCUGCCCUCAGCUCUGGGAUAAGCCUGGGAAACCGGGUCUAAUACCGGAUAUGACUCCAUGACGCAUGUUGUGGGGUGGAAAGCCUUGUGCGGCUGAGGAUGGGCCCGCGGCCUAUCAGCUUGUUGGUGGGGNGAUGGCCUACCAAGGCGACGACGGGUAGCCGGCCUGAGAGGGCGACCGGCCACACUGGGACUGAGACACGGCCCAGACUCCUACGGGAGGCAGCAGUGGGGAAUCUUGCGCAAUGGGCGAAAGCCUGACGCAGCGACGCCGCGUGAGUGAUGAAGGCCUUAGGGUUGUAAAGCUCUUUUACCUGGGAAGAUAAUGACGGUACCGGGAGAAUAAGCCCGGCUAACUUCGUGCCAGCAGCCGCCGU
rnacentral:rRNA from 1 species